CGUCAGUACGUCGUAUCCACGGUAACCACCCCUGCGACGUCACUACCCCUUCUCCCUUCCCUUUCAGAAACCGGUGAGCGACGCACAGCGAGGCGUCACCAAGCUGGGAGGAAGGAAAGAAGGCGGCCCUGGUUGUCAUAACAGCAGUGGGGCUCGGUCACCAAAGCAAUGAGAAGGGACUCUUGAUAUGGCUUCCUACAGUAAUUGCCUGGCUAGAUAGAUACUUCUCAGAGCUCACUGUCUCCUAGCAAUUCCCUGAUGUUGCUUGGAAUUUCACUGUGGAAAUGAUUGGAUUUUUAUAGAACCUGGUGUUCAUCUUCCUGCUUUCUCUGCAGUCCCACAUGGAAACUGUGUUUCCACAGGCCCACAACACAAAAGUGCUAGCAAGCUUUUAAAAGAAUUUUCUAGAGUUC